AACCAUAGAAACCUGCGGAGUACCUGCGGAAGGAUCAUUACUGAAGAAAUGGCUAGAGCUGAGCUGGCUCCUAGGAGUACGUGCUCGCUCUGGUCGCUCCUUCUCACUUUCCACUGUGCACCUUUUGUAGGCUUUUAACGAUGAACUUCUCAGUUGCAUUGCAACUGGUGUCAAGGGCUUUUCGUACCCUUGACAGUCGUUAGCCUACGUAUUACAAACUCUUAUAAGUCUAUGAAUGUC
rnacentral:misc_RNA from 1 species